UAAUACAGAGGGAGCAAGCGUUGUUCGGAAUUACUGGGCGUAAAGGGCGCGUAGGCGGCUUAACAAGUCCCGUGUGAAAUCCCUCGGCUCAACUGAGGAACUGCACGGGAAACUGUUUGGCUUGAGUUCGGGAGAGGGAAGCGGAAUUCCGGGUGUAGCGGUGAAAUGCGUAGAUAUCCGGAGGAACACCGGUGGCGAAGGCGGCUUCCUGGACCGACACUGACGCUGAGGCGCGAAAGCUAGGGGAGCAAACGGGAUUAGAUACCCCGGUAGUCCUAGCUGUAAACGAUGA
rnacentral:rRNA from 1 species